GAUUAUCUCUUCUCCCCUCACCAAAUCUGUGAUGGCAGCGACCGGCUCGAUAGCUGAUGAUGGGAGGGUUUGGUCCCCUUUUAUCCACUAGCGUGAGGGAAUCCCGGCUGGUGGUUGGGACGGCCUUGCGACCACCACGCAGAAAUCCCAGGGUUCUGUUCAUGCGGACGCGAGGGGGAGGGAUGAUUCCGACCACUGGGCCCCACGAGGCAGUGGCCAAACACGCGUGCGGAAGUGGAGUCGGGCCGUGGAGGUUGAGGAAGCAAGUGGGCCGCGAAUUGAGAGAACCGGCCCAAGUCAAGAUCUGCGUGCGACCCUGGCCCUCGGCAGCGCGGCCCCUGCUCCUCCCCCCAUGGCGGUACCUGUGAGAGAGGAAGGUGGCGAGAGGAAGAAGAAGUAGUUUUUGAAAAAAUAAUCCCAGAGAAUACUGUAAUUAACCCUCUGUUUGUUGAGUCUUGUAAAACUCGCUUGCUAGCCCCUAAAGUCGAUAGAUAAUCGCUUG